UACGGAGGAUGCGAGCGUUAUCCGGAUUUAUUGGGUUUAAAGGGUGCGUAGGCGGCUUUUUAAGUAAGCGGUGAAAUUUUGCAGCUUAACUGUAACAGUGCCGUUGAUACUGGGGAGCUAGGAUUUGGUUGCUGUGGGUGGAAUGUGUGGUGUAGCGGUGAAAUGCUUAGAGAUCACACAGAAUAUCGAUUGCGAAGGCAGCUCACAAAGCCAAGAUUGACGCUGAGGCACGAAAGUGUGGGGAUCAAGCAGGAUUAGA
rnacentral:rRNA from 1 species